rnacentral:sRNA from 3 species
ACUCAACGCGAAUUUUUUUAUAAAAGGUGAGUCAUUUCUGCUAAAGCGCGCCAUUAUGGAUUCUUGAUCAGUAUGUUAGCCUUAAUCUUGUUUUAACUAGAGUUU